GGUCAGGCCCUGUGCAACGACGGACGGGUGAACCCCGCCAGGACCGGAAGGUAGCAACGGCAACCACGUUCCGCGUGUGCCGCAGGUCGCCUGGCCGCG
rnacentral:SRP_RNA from 1 species